rnacentral:rRNA from 1 species
CUCUUUCUUGAUUCGGUGGGUGGUGGUGCAUGGCCGUUCUUAGUUGGUGGAGCGAUUUGUCUGGUUAAUUCCGAUAACGAACGAGACUCUAGCCUGCUAAAUAGGUGGCGGGUUUUAUUAAAAAAUUUGGGUUCGGGGUUCGUCGGGACCAGGGUGUCUGUCUCAGGCGUUCUUUGUCCGCCGGUCGUUGCUGCCGGCCGCCGGGUGCGGGGCGAGGCGUUUCGGCGUCGCGUCUCGUUUCUGGUGGUCUGUGGUGGCGGUCGGUGGCUUGGUUCGUCGGGGGCCGGCGCUCCCCGGCGGUUCGCCCCGUUCUCGCGUCCGUCACAACUCUUCUUAGAGGGACAAGCGGCGUCCAGCCGCGUGACAGUGAACAAUAACAGGUCUGUGAUGCCCUUAGAUGUCCUGGGCCGCACGCGCGCUACACUGAAGGAAUCAGCGUGUUUUUAUCCCCCUGUCCGAAAGGACCGGGUA